UGACAAAUGGAUGUGCUGCUAGGGAAGGUGUUUUCAGGGCAAGGUAAACAGACCUAAUUCCUAAUCUCUGUCAGCAUCGCCAUGGAGAACAACUGGUGCUGGUGUGGUCAGAGGAAAUCUUUAAACAGGUUUGGAUCUGGAAGGCUGGGCGCUGGCCUGGAGCUGUGACCAAACAGUGGACUCCUUCAGGCAUGAGUGCAUUUGACACCCCCAUCAGCCCCUUAAGCAUCUGUGUACAAGUUUCAUCAACGGCACUGUUAGCCUGUGCCAGGGACUGUCUAUGCUGCUCCAAUGGUCAGAGAUGGAUCUGCGUUGCCAGCAGGUGGGCACAUGAUCCUGUUUGAAAUUCUCAUCUUGGCAUUUGUUUUCUCACUCCUGAUACAAAA
rnacentral:lncRNA from 1 species